UUUUAUACUGAUGAAUGUAUGCAAAUGCAAAAAUAAAAAAAAUAAAAAAAAUGGAAGAAUUUCAGGAUCAAAAUCGGGGUAUGACAGUUGCCCCUAUUUAAGCGUCUUCAACUAUAGAAUAUGAAGCAAGACACUCUUCAUAUGAUCGUAGUGGGAGAUGGUUAAAUACUAAGAAGACCCGGAUUUUGAUCCUGAAUCCCCAUGACACGAUGUGAUAGGA
rnacentral:lncRNA from 1 species